AAGCAUCGCAUGGAGAGUCUGACGGAGCACGCCGCGUGAGUGAAGAAGGCCUUCGGGUCGUAAAACUCUGUUAUCAGGGAAGAACAAGCAUCAAAGUAACUGUUGGGGCUUGGACGGUACCUGACCAGAAAGCCACGGCUAACUACGUGCCAGCAGCCGCGGUAAUACGUAGGUGGCAAGCGUUGUCCGGAAUUAUUGGGCGUAAAGGGCGCGCAGGCGGUUUCUUAAGUCUGAUGUGAAAGCCCCCGGCUCACCCGGGGAGGGUCAUUGGAAACUGGGAGGCUUGAGUGCAAAAAAGGAAAGCGAAAUUCCACGUGUAGCGGUGAAAUGCGUAAAGAUGUGGAGGAACACCAGUGGCGAAGGCGGCUCUCUGGUCUGUAACUGACGCUGAGGCGCGAAAGCGUGGGUAGCGAACAGGAUUAAAUACCCUGGUAGUCCACGCCGUAAACAAUGAGUGCUAAGUGUUAGAGGGUUUCCGCCCUUUAGUGCUGCACCAAACGCAUUAAGCACUCCGCCUGGGGAGUACGGCCGCAAGGCUGAAACUCAAGAAAUUUGACGG
rnacentral:rRNA from 1 species